AUGGUCCUAUCAAGUAUAAUACAAGCAAAUAUUUUAUAUAGUUUGAACUCCCGAAACUAGACGAGCUACUCAAAAACAGCCUCAUGGGCGAACCCUUCUCUGUUGCAAAAGAGUGGGAAGAUUUUUAAGUAGCGGUGACAUACCUAUCGAGCCUAGAGAUAGCUGGUUAUUCAAGAAAAGAAUAUAAGUUCUGCCUUAAGCCACAAAAUGCACAUAACAUAAAACAAUACUUAAGAGCUAUUCAAGUAAGGUACAGCCUACUUGACUUAGGAUACAACCAAAACUAUAGGGUAAUACCUUGUACUAUAACCCAAGUGGGCCUAAAAGCAGCCACCUUUCAAAAAGCGUCACAGCUUAACUUCAACACUAAUUAAUACCAAAAUACAUUUAAACCCCAUUAUCAGUAUUGAAUAAUUUUAUAAUACUAUAAAAAAUACAAUGCUAGAACUAGUAAUAAGAAAUAAGUAUUUCUCCUAAAUGUAAGCACAAAUCAGCAAGAACCAAUCCCUGACUAAUAUUGCAAAUGUAAAGUAAUAACCCCACUAGAAAACCUUACUUCACCAAGCAUUAACCUAACACAAGAACAUUUAAGGAAAGAUUAAACCAGGGAGAAGGAACUCGGCAAAUUUAGUCUCGCCCUGUUUAC
rnacentral:rRNA from 1 species